UACAGAGGGUGCGAGCGUUAAUCGGAAUUACUGGGCGUAAAGCGUGCGUAGACGGCUAUCUAAGUCGGGUGUGAAAGCCCCGGGCUCAACCUGGGAAUUGCAUUCGAGACUGAAUAGCUAGGGUACGGUAGAGGGAAGCGGAAUUUCCGGUGUAGCGGUGAAAUGCGUAGAUAUCGGAAGGAACAUCAGUGGCGAAAGCGGCUUCCUGGACCAGUACCGACGUUCAGGCACGAAAGCUGGGGGAGCAAACCGG
rnacentral:rRNA from 1 species